rnacentral:lncRNA from 1 species
CAAGAAUAUUUAGCCCACACAGCCCCCCAGUAGGGGGAAGGAAAACGAGCUGUUUUAGCUGCGAGUGACCAAAGUAUUUGUAUAGCUGAAAAACAAGAUGGCAAGAUGCACAACACUGUUUAACCUAAAGGAUUGGUUAUGUUAAGUCUUUGACUGAAUCACAUGAUUUAUUUUGCCUGAAUGCAGCUACGUACAAAGCUGAAGGCAAAUGGUGCGUUUUCACAUGAUCUGAACUGGAGAAAAAUCCAAGAAUGAAAAUU